rnacentral:lncRNA from 1 species
CUCCACCUAUUGCCAAUUUGUUUUAGGCUUUGACCCAUAGAUCAGCUCUAACACUUAACAAUGAAAGCUUCCAAUGUUUCAGGAGGUUCUCUUUUCUCUAUUUUUUUCUUCUUUUAGGUAAAGGGUAAAAUAAACCCUUGGCCAAAUAAUUCUAGCACAUGUUUUCUGAAUUCUCCACCUCUACCGUGGAGUCAAGCUGACGUCAUACUACUAGACCAAUUUGUAAACAAUUUCCAUGAUGAACCUAUUGUUGAUAAGAUUGUUAACAUACUUAAAGGACUAACAAGAAGAAUACGUUACUA